CGCCCAGACUCCUACGGGAGGCAGCAGUGGGGAAUAUUGCACAAUGGGGGAAACCCUGAUGCAGCGACGCCGCGUGAGCGAAGAAGUAUUUCGGUAUGUAAAGCUCUAUCAGCAGGGAAGAAAAUGACGGUACCUGAGUAAGAAGCUCCGGCUAAAUACGUGCCAGCAGCCGCGGUAAUACGUAUGGAGCAAGCGUUAUCCGGAUUUACUGGGCGUAAAGGGAGCGUAGGCGGCCUGCCAAGUCUGAUGUGAAAUACCGGGGCUCAACCCCGGGACUGCUCUUGGAACUGCGUGGCUGGAGUGCAGGAGGGGCAGGCGGAAUUCCUGGUGUAGCGGUGAAAUGCGUAGAUAUCAGGAGGAACACCGGUGGCGAAGGCGGCCUGCUGGACUGCAACUGACGUUGAGGCCCGAAAGCGUGGGGAGCAAACAGGAUUAGAUACCCUAGUAA
rnacentral:rRNA from 1 species